CCCUGAUCCAGAAAAAAACCAGCGAGACAUGAAACUAUAUCCCGUCUUUGUCCUUCUGCCUUCGUGCAGAACGAAGUUCACAACGAAUUUUGCCAAAAUAUUCGUUGUGAACGAAGGCAGAAGAACGAAGACGGGAUAUAGAUUCAUGUCUCGCUGUUUUAUCCUGAUCAGGGUAUGGAUUUGGGUCAGCAUUCACAAACAGCUAGACAUGAAUCUCUAAUCUGUCUUCACUCCUGACCCUAAACUCAGAAUGCGCAAGCUAAUGUGCAAGACAGGCAAAAAUUGUCAACCACGUCGUCGUCGCCCGACUUCGUUCUCUUGCUCAAACUCUC